CUUUGGAGUUGGACUUUGGACAAGAGUCUGCCUUCUCCCUAGGUGGCCAGCCUCUUGAUAAAGCUCAUAUUCCGUUCCAGUCAAAGCUUGUCUCUUGAGUAUUGGCCUUUUGAGUGACAAGCAUAGCUCAUUUAUUGGGUUUUGGUAACACUAUCGCUCCACAUCCUUGUCGGCAUUUGGUGUGGUCAGUGUUUUGGAUUGCAGCCAUUUUAAUAGAGAGAGAGAGAGCAGGAGCAGGAGAGGGGCAGAGAGAGAGGGAGACACAGAAUCGGAAGCAGGCUCCAGGCUCCGAGCUGUCAGCACAGAGCCCAACACGGGGCUCGAACUCACAGACCGCGAGAUCAUGACCUGAGCCGAAGUCGGACGCUCAACUGACUGAGCCACCCAGCUGCCCUGAGACCUCUUUUUCUAAUAAAACAUUUUUUACGCAGUUUUCUUUUUCUACUUAUAAAGUUUUUAAAAACUUUUUUAAAGAUAAGUUGACAUACGAUAAAAGUCACAGGUUUGAAAUGUA